AUCAUCGCCAACAAACGGGCUCAGCUGCUGUGAUUUCCCCCUCCCUCGUCCAUUCUCCUCUCUCUCCUUUAAUAUAGACUCCGUCGGCAGAAAGGAUUUGAUUCUCGCACCAAAAAAAAUGGAAAUAUCAGAAGAAAUGUCUUUGAAUGAGCUACCAGAAGGGUGCAUAGCUACUGCACUGUCGUUUACAACUCCUCAGGACGUUGGCCGGCUCUCGGUUGUCUCUCCCAUGUUCAUGUUGGCCGCCGUAUCCGAUGUUGUUUGGGAGAGGUUCCUUCCUAGAGAUCUUGAAUCUAUUCUAUCCACCUCCCCUGAUGGUUCUCGCCUGAUGGCAUCUGCGGCUUCCAAAAAGGAACUGUAUUUUAGCCUCUGUGAGAAUCCAGUGCUUGUUGGUAAUGGGAGAAAGAGCUUUUCAUUGGAAAAAAAGAGUGGGAAGAAAUGUUACAGGCUUUCUGCAAGGGACCUCUUGAUUACAUGGGGUGAUUCUCCUGAGUAUUGGACAUGGAAUUCUGACCCCACAUCUAGAUUUCCAGAAGUAGCUGAGCUUAUUUCGGUGUGCUGGCUUGAAAUCAGUGGCAAAAUCAAUACUAGCAUGCUAUCACCCGCAACGUUGUACACAGCAUACCUUGUGUUAAAGCUUUCCAUAGACAUUCACAAUUAUGGAUUGGAUGACCAGCCAGUUGCGGUUGCAAUGAAACUGGAUGGAGAAGAAAGUUAUACACGGACUGUUAGCUGGAGUGCAGAAAGAAGGCGGGGGCAGGUACCCCGUAAUGUAAGACGGUCGUUUUCUUUAUUUAGCUUUAGCCGCAGUAGAUCUGUAUCCACUGGAGAAAGUGAUGGACAUUAUCCACAGGAAAGAGGAGAUGGGUGGUUGGAGAUUGAAUUAGGUGAGUUCUUUACCAAGGAAGGGAAAGAUGGAGAGCUGGGAAUUAGAGUUUUUGAUGGCACUACUCAUUGGAAACGUGGGCUGAUUGUUGAAGGGAUCGAGAUUAGACCAAAACAGGGUAACUAGAUGAGCAACUGUUUUCAUAUUCUAGUAAUCAUGUCUACUUUUUUCACAUCUGUAGUGCGUAGAUUAAGGUUGGUAUCUUGAUUGCAUCACUAUCAAGAGCCUUUGCAGCUGGUCUAGUGCGCACACAGCUAUGUGCAAGAGGAGCUAGUCCAAGCAGUUAAAGAUGCACAGGAAAUGGACUUCUUCAUCUGAAGUGGCAUGUUUAAUACCAGAAGCCGACAAAGUUUCCAACCAUACUGUUGAUGCUGAAACUAGAACACAAAGGGAGCAAAAUUGUAUUGUUGAAACAAUGUUAUCUGUUGUCUGUAUUCAAAACUAUCCAGUGUGUAUGUAGUUUAAAUCCAAAAGGUAUUAAAUCGAAUGGGGCAUUGCUUUGCUGGGAUCUUUGUAGUCUAGCUGAGGUUUCAAACACAAUCUUUUUUUCACAGAACGCAAUCUAGUGAAUUCAAAUAAAAAGAAGUUACUAUAUACUUAUGCUA